CCUACGGGAGGCAGCAGUGGGGAAUAUUGCACAAUGGGGGAAACCCUGAUGCAGCGACGCCGCGUGAGGGAAGAAGUAAUUCGUUAUGUAAAGCUCUAUCAGCAGGGAAGAAAAUGACGGUACCUGAGUAAGAAGCCCCGGCUAACUUCGUGCCAGCAGCCGCGGUAAUACGAAGGGGGCAAGCGUUGUUCGGAAUUACUGGAGUAAAGGGAGGGUAGGCGGUUUAGUUAGAUAGUCGUGAAAUCCCAGAGCUUAACCUUGGAAUUGCCAUUAUAACUAUUAGACUAGAAUUACAGAGAGGAUAGUGGAAUACGCAGUGUAGAGGUGAAAUUCGUAGAUAUUGGGUAGAACACCAGUGGCGAAGGCGACUAUCUGGCUGUACAUUGACGCUGAGGCUCGAAAGCAUGGGGAUCAAACAGGAUUAGAUACCCUUGUAGUC
rnacentral:rRNA from 1 species